CCGUGCGAUUCUCUAAAAUUCAAACAAGAACUCGCAUCUCACUACGAAAUUCUCCAUCACUUCGCAUUCGCAAUGGAAUGACCUUGAUUUGGCAUUCUGUAAACACUAAUCUUAAUUACCCUGCCUCGAGCGAAGUGAAGUGACAACGAAGUUUGUUUACAAUAUUAAUAGGGAUAGCCGUAUACACGCAAAUGUAAAUCGAAGCUUACCGGUUUCAGUUUUUCUUUGUAUUUAAAAGCAUUCUGUAAGAAAAUACUAUGAAUUUAAGCUUUGGUGUCUAAACCACAUCUAAUAUAUCUAAAAAGAAAAUUAAAAGUCAUAUAUUUAUGAAAUUAAUUGUAAUUUCUGGCUGUACGCUAAGUUCCUUUGCGUGCACUGGCGAAUACCAGAAUUAAAAAACAAAAUUUAAUUGUUUUCAAAACAAUUUCGAGCGGUCGGAAGUUUUUAUUUUGCUUUUUCUAGAUUUGUUGUUACUUUGUGAGUGAAUUUAACGUUAAAUAAAAAUUAUGAGAUUUAAAGAGCGUUCUUCUCAUCCGACAUUGGCGCAAAUAGAGGCAUUAAUAAACGUUUUGGGUUAAAAGCUAGCGAAACAAAAGGAUUAAUCGAAUCUCAACAUGUUCAAUAAGAGAACAAGGAUAUUAAAAAAAUAUAGGAACUAAAUUCUCUUGUCAGUUAAGAUCCAUUCCCGGAACUACAACAGAUUGAAAAUACUAAUCCACAUCAUCAGAAUAUUGUAAGGAGAAUUUAUAGCCAACUCGGAAAAUGUAUCAGUAUUGGAACAAUCGCAAACAUACAGCAUUGCAUCAAGAAUCACCUAUUUUGCAGUCAUCAUCCUCUAACUAAAUGCAAGUAACUUCUACUUAUUGUGAUGCUACUACUAGUAGCUCCAGCCACAGUAGGUCUCACAUGUUAGUCAAGAGAUUGGGUUGAUAUGUGUUUAUUCAGGUCAAAGUACCUAUUCAUUGGACCACCAUAUUAGGGACAUUGAUUUGUGUAUAUUGCUGUUACUUGUAAAUAAAAACAUUUUGUUGCAUGUAUUGUAAACAAAAACAUUUUGUUGCAUGUAUUGUAAACAUUGUAUUUUACCUAACCUUGUUUUUAAAUAAAUUUAUUAUUUUUUUCAGCACCUCAACACCUGACCUGCUAUUUCACCACUUUUACAAUGAAAAGCAGAGUGUACUCAAAUUACUGAGAGAAUUUUGUGGAUAGAGGAACUGCAGGUGAAGAUUCAGGGUGUUCAUAUGUGUGUCGUCCAAAGCAUUUUUGAACACAGUACCACAUAUAACUUAAUGAAACUUACAACCAUGGGGGAAUGAAUAGUCGACAAUCUGCAAGAAGGAUGAACUGUUGGUGGAAUUAGCACAUGCAGCUAGCAAUUUUAAACCUGUAUUUCCACAUAAGUUACUGAUGCAAACAAAUUUCAAAAUUAUUGUAUAUAACUAUUGAAUAAAACUAUUUUUAUAAAUCAUUAAUUUAUAUUUGAAGUUACUUCACACUAUAAGUUAGCUAAUUAGUAAAAUUUAACAAAGUAAUUCAACAUGACCACCAUAAUGUACAUGUAAUCUCAUCAUCUGAAAUCAUGGGAACUGGCAGCUCUGCACAAUUGCAAAUGUUGUGCAAAACACAACACGCAACAACUAUUUUUGCUAUCUUAUCAGGGUGGUAAAUUGGCACCCUAUAGAUCAGCAAACACCUGAAUCUGCUCUUUAACAUACCUAUUGUUCUUUACACUGAGUUACGGGCAGUGGAAUGAAGGCGGUGCUACAAAGCUUCAGGAGUAUCUUCCUCUAUAUUAGCAAAAGCUAGCUAUUAUUAGCAGGUAUUAGCUAGCAUAGCAUAGCGUUAUCACCUAUUUCUGCCGUGAAGCAGUAAUGCGUUUCGGUUUGAAGGGUGGGGCAGCUGUUGUAACUAUACUGAGACCUUAGAAUUUAUAUCUCAAGGUGGGUGGCGCAUUUACGAUGUAGAUGUCUAUGGGCUCCAGUAACCAUUUAACACCAGGUGGGCUGGGAGCUCGUCCACCGAUCUAAGCAAUGAAAAAAUAAAUAGCAAAAGGUGUCAUAAGGUUGGAACGUUGACAAUAUACAGAAAGCCCGAAAAGAUGUUAAAUAAUUAUAAUGGUCAUUACUUGCUGUCAUUGACUAAUCUAGUAGAUUUUAUUUCGUUUUGAUUAUAACUGAAUAAAGUUAUUUAAGAUAAAUACUAUAUUUCACAAUAACUUAUAGCAAUAUACACAAUUACAAUUUAACUGAAAUGAAUACAAUCUGAAUACAUAGGUUCUUAAUACACAUUUCGUUUAUGGAUUACAUAUCAGAAUUUCGAAAAAUAUUAAUAGCUUUACAAAUUGUACAUUUCUUGCAUGAUAUUCUUUGCGACAGUAAAACCAUUUUUUAUUGGUAGCAGAUCUUUUUAAGGCCACCAACUUCCCAUCAAUACACCCAAUAACCCAAAGGAUUCUAAAUUUUUCAUAAAAACUGCAAUAUUUAGCAUUACAUUAAUAUUGGUAAUUUUUUAUGAAGAAAACAUUUUUUUAUUUAGCUUAAACCUCUCCUCCUCCUCCUUGCAUCGGUUUCCUCAUUACUGAGGGUCGUGGUCAUGGCCUUGAAACAGUUUGUUUUUUAUAGUGCACCGCCAUCUGUUCCUAUUUAGCUUAAACCACCUUCUUCUUUUUUCUUUGCUUUUCCUUCAACUUUUGCCAUUCUUGAGCAUUCUGUGGGAAUCUUAAAUAUGUAUAUAUAGUUGCUGGGUUGUUCAGAGCCUCCACAACCUCAGAUAUAAACUGGGAUGUCUGGAACAAAUAUGUUCUUAUAUUUUCUUUUAUGAUUUUUUUGGUAACUUCAAUUGGCCAAAAAUAACAAGGUGCACAAUAACUGAAACUAAGAAAUAAUCAUUAAACAAUACACAUAGUUAUUAGAGAAUCUAAUUUGUAUUCUUUCAAGAUAUUUUUGGUAGACUAGUUUAGUGGUAUUGUUUUACAAUAAUGGGAGAGUUGGAUAUAAACAAAUGGGCAAACUUUAAUAAUAUGUUAUAAAGUACCUAUUUUGUUCAUAAAGACACAAUCUUACCACGUGGAAUACCUACCUUUAGAAGAGUUGAAAGUCCUUUUCAAUGGCUUUUAGUGGUCUUCAUCAAAGGGUGUAAUUCACACCCUAACUGGUUCAUAUGAUCCUUCGACAAUCUAUACACUUUCUUUAUACUUUUGCAUGGUCGUCAUCUCAAGUUAAAAGUGAUAAAUUGUGAAUUUCGUAGGCUUGUCGACGCAUUUCACGCUGAUCCGUAGCGUCAGCUUCUUUCAACAAUGUUUUCAAUAAAAAUAUACGCUCCACAAAAUAUCGAUGAAGAAUAAAGUUAUUUUAAAGUGCAAUUUUGUUAAUUAAUAGUAUUUUUUUAAUAAUUAACAGCGGUUUAUAACGUUUUCGUAUAUUCUCACUCACAACAAACACUUAAAACACUAACUUUUGAUUUGACAAAUAAAAUGAUUUUGCGAUGCGAAGUUCUUGCCGAAAUUCGACGUGAUUUACACUACAGAAUGCCGUUUCAAACGUCAACUCAUACAUUUUAGUAAAAAAAACUCACGCUUGCUAGUUCAAUUCACCCGCGAGGGGCGCUAGUGUAGAUUCGGCACUACAAUGAAAUUUACAGAAUGCCAAUUUGAAAACUCACACCAAAUUCACGUGCGAGUUUGUUAAACAACGCUUACAGAAUCGCACGGAUGUUGUAAAAUUAUAUCCGCUACCGCUAGAAUAAAUUAGAGUACCGCAUGUCAUCAACCGCUUCAACUCUACUCGUAAACAUUCAUGAUGGCUUAUUAUUAAUUAAAAUUUGUUUCUUUUCAAAUAACUUCCCGCUAUUUAAGCUUUAUGCUUCCUAUCUUAGUAUCUUUAUAUAUUUGUUGAAAGUCCUGCGAACUUUCAAGGCGGGCAGGAUGGUCACGCGCGGAUUUAGUAAUGGGAUGCUAAUGAAUUAUUGGGAUGGCGCCACCUUUGGAGUUUGUCAGUAACUAAUUACCGCGACUAUCCAAAGCGGGGUUCUACCCGAUCGAUCACGCUUUACCGCUAGCUGCCUAGAUGGCGGCACUUGUAUAUUGCGGGGUGCUUGUGCUUACGAAAAGCUACGUGAGCUUCGUCACCCCCUCCCGCCGCCCGCGUGCAUCCAUCGCCGACGCCCGCACAACAGUCACUGGCAAGGUCUACAGGCAGACUCACAUACGGCCCACCUGAUAGUGAGUGGUUACGGCCAUGGACGUCAGCAAUGCUAGGGGCACAGCCAAGCCGCUGCCUAUCUACCCAGCGUAGCAUUGUUUUUGGGAGCAAUGAUUAUAGCAGAGAUGAAGGGCAAGCGUGGGAAAAUGGGCACAGCGAGUAAGAAGACAGCGGGGAAAGAAGUCAGGAGAGAAAAACUAGUAAGAAUACCCACUCUUACUACUUCGCAGUGGGUGCCUAAUUAUAAGUUUUGUAAAAGUGGAAUUACGAAGAAUACAGUACGGAAUUAAGUAACCUACUGCAGUCUGUAUUUUAUUUUCUGUCUGGUGGGGGGCAUUAAAAAAAAAUAAAAAAAAAUUAGAUGGGUAGACGAGCUCACAGCCCGCCUGGUGUUAAGUGGUUACUGGAGCCCAUAGACAUCUACAAUGUAAAUGCGCCACCCACCUUGAGAUAUAAGUUCUAAGGUCUCAAGUAUAGUUACAAUGGCUGCCCCACCCUUCAAACCGAAACGCAUUACUGCUUCAUGGCAGAAAUAGGCAGGGUGGUGGUACCCACCCGCGCGGACUCACAAGAGGUCCUACCACUAGUAAUUACGCAAAUUAUAAUUUUGCGGGUUUCAUUU